rnacentral:rRNA from 1 species
UACAGAGGGUGCGAGCGUUGUCCGGAAUCACUGGGCGUAAAGGGCGCGUAGGUGGCGGCCCAAGUCUGUGGUGAAAGCUCGAUGCUCAACAUCGAGUCGGCCACGGAGACUGGGUGGCUCGAGCACUGUAGGGGCAGAUGGAAUUCCGGGUGUAGCGGUGGAAUGCGUAGAGAUCCGGAAGAACACCGGUGGCGAAGGCGGUCUGCUGGGCAGUUGCUGACACUGAGGCGCGACAGCGUGGGGAGCAAACAGG